GUCCACACCCUAAACGAUGCAGACUGUAUAUUGGUGCGGAGUGUAUCAGUAUAGAAGCGAAAGCGAUAAGUCUGCCACCUGGGGAGUACGCCCGCAAGGGUGAAACUCAAAGGAAUUGACGGGGGUCCGCACAAGCGGUGGAGUAUGUGGUUUAAUUCGAUGAUACGCGAGGAACCUUACCUAGGCUAGAAUGGGCAUUGGAUACUGUUGAAAGAUGGUAGGCUCGCAAGAGACAAUGUUCAAGGUGCUGCAUGGUUGUCGU
rnacentral:rRNA from 1 species